rnacentral:rRNA from 1 species
GAUGAACGCUGGCGGCGUGCCUAAUACAUGCAAGUCGAGCGAACGGACGAGAAUCUUGCUUCUCUGAUGUUAGCGGCGGACGGGUGAGUAACACGUGGAUACCCUACCUAUAAGACUGGGAUAACUUCGGGAAACCGGAGCUAAUACCGGAUAAUAUUUUGAACCGCAUGGUUCAACAGUGAAAGACGGUCUUGCUGUCACUUAUAGAUGGAUCCGCGCUGCAUUAGCUAGUUGGUAAGGUAACGGCUUACCAAGGCAACGAUGCAUAGCCGACCUGAGAGGGUGAUCGGCCACACUGGAACUGAGACACGGUCCAGACUCCUACGGGAGGCAGCAGUAGGGAAUCUUCCGCAAUGGGCGAAAGCCUGACGGAGCAACGCCGCGUGAGUGAUGAAGGUCUUCGGAUCGUAAAGCUCUGUUAGUAGGGAAGAACAUAUGUGUAAGUAACUGUGCACAUCUUGACGGUACCAAAACAGAAAGCCACGGCUAACUACGUG